rnacentral:rRNA from 1 species
CCUACGGGUGGCAGCAGUGAGGAAUAUUGGUCAAUGGACGAGAGUCUGAACCAGCCAAGUAGCGUGAAGGAUGACUGCCCUAUGGGUUGUAAACUUCUUUUAUAUGGGAAUAAAAUGUUCCACGUGUGGGAUUUUGUACGUACCAUAUGAAUAAGGAUCGGCUAACUCCGUGCCAGCAGCCGCGGUAAUACGGAGGAUCCGAGCGUUAUCCGGAUUUAUUGGGGUUAAAGGGAGCGUAGGUGGAUUGUUAAGUCAGUUGUGAAAGUUUGCGGCUCAACCGUAAAAUUGCAGUUGAAACUGGCAGUCUUGAGUGCAGGAGAGGUGGGCGGAAUUCGUGGUGUAGCGGUGAAAUGCUUAGAUAUCACGAAGAACUCCGAUUGCGAAGGCAGUUCACUGGACUGCAACUGACGCUGAGGCUCGAAAGUGUGGGUAUCAAACAGGAUUAGAUACCCUGGUAGUC